GACGACUCCUACAAACCGUCUCACUCUGCCAGAGCGUUUUCUGUCGGGUGUCAGCUGGACUCGUGUGUGACACCAGUGUCCAGCUGGAGCUGCGGAGGAACCCAACAGCUCUCAUCCCCACAGGACAGAUGGAAACCUUAAGAGCAGAUUCCAGGGUUCUCACAAUUAUGGCAAGUUGUCCAGGCUGAGAAGCAACACAGCAGAGCCAGGCGAUCAGAUCGCCAUCACCGCUAUUCUGAAAUACUUUGUCAGUUUUCCAGCACAUGUAGUGAAAUGCACACCUUCCAAAAAUUCCACUUUUGUCUCAUCAGCCCACAGAAUAUCUUUGAAAAACUCUAAGGCAGUGAUCUCCAACUCCAGUCCUCAAGUUCAUCACACCUUAGAUGUUGUUCUGUUCUGACCUCCUGGCUACUGGUAGGCCAGUUCAUCACUGUUCCAGAGUCAACACGACGACAUGUUUAAGAUUCAACCAUUCAUGAUCACAUUUCACCUUUACGUGGAAUGUACGUUCUCCCAGCAGUUUCGGACUGUGGAACAAAAACCAGAGAGCAGAAAGGAUUAGUGCAUGCAGAGGAAGAACAAAGUUCACAUUACUGGUCCUGAUAGGAGAUUUGAAUCCAGGACAUCCUUGCUGAGUAUUGUGUUGCUUCUGCAUGAAUUCUGAUCAAAGAAUACUUUGGUUACAUUUGAGGCCAUGUGUCCAACAGCUGCGGCUUGGUCCAAGAAAGAUCCAGCAAGACGAGACAAUAGGGGCAAGCUCAGCAGCAACUCUGAGAGAGAAUGGCGAUAAAAACAGGUAUUCGAAGUGACUCUCAGGCCAUUAACCAUAAAAUUAUGCAAAUUAGAAUAAAAAAAAUACAUUUGCUCAAUAGAAACAGCAAUUUUGAAAAAAAAACAACUCACUUUUUUUAUACGUUUUUGUGCCAGGGUCAGGUGGUUUGCAGGUAUUUCGCCAACCUGCAAUAGAAAACACUUUUUUUGCAUCACACAAGUCACAUGAUCAGCAGCCAGAUGUUACUGCUGUGAAGAUGACAGGAGGAGGGUGAUGGUGUGGUAUGUUUUUAAUGACGUAUCGCCUGAACAAAUUUAUUCAAGUGUGAUUUUAAUCGCGUUUCUUGUCUAAUGGAAACACCACAAUUGCAAAAUUGUGUCUUUAUGACGUUAGCAGAACAUCAACAGCGUUGUGAACACAUUUGUAAUGGAGACGCAGCUAUGGAAACCAAUGGACUGUUAUCAUCCCGUGGGCUUUAAUUUACCCUUGAAUUCUCUUGGCAUUGUACCUACAUCUACUUAAAAACAAAAAAAGAGUACAUAAGAGUGCUUUUUUUUCACAACUUACCUUGAGAAGUAUAAGAUUCAAAGUCUACAGUAAGCAUGAUCAGAGGAUCUGUGAGGCCAGCAGAUGGACAUGGAGAGGAAAUGCCUCGAGACAUGCGCUGGAUUGUGGAAUAUCCCUGGCAGUUGGGUGAGGCAGGAUUAGUUUACACUCGGUCAUGGCUUUCACAGUAACUCUAUCUCUGGGAUAUGCAAGCUUCACCCAGCCUGCACUAUAAAGCACUGGGCCCUCUCA